rnacentral:rRNA from 1 species
GAUGAACGCUGGCGGCGUGCCUAAUACAUGCAAGUCGAGCGAACAGACGAGGAGCUUGCUCCUCUGACGUUAGCGGCGGACGGGUGAGUAACACGUGGAUAACCUACCUAUAAGACUGGGAUAACUUCGGGAAACCGGAGCUAAUACCGGAUAAUAUAUUGAACCGCAUGGUUCAAUAGUGAAAGACGGUUUUGCUGUCACUUAUAGAUGGUUCCGCGCCGCAUUAGCUAGUUGGUAAGGUAACGGCUUACCAAGGCGACGAUGCGUAGCCGACCUGAGAGGGUGAUCGGCCACACUGGAACUGAGACACGGACCAGACUCCUACGGGAGGCAGCAGUAGGGAAUCUUCCGCAAUGGGCGAAAGCCUGACGGAGCAACGCCGCGUGAGUGAUGAAGGUCUUCGGAUCGUAAAACUCUGUUAUUAGGGAAGAACAAAUGUGUAAGUAACUAUGCACGUCUUGACGGUACCUAAUCAGAAAGCCACGGCUAACUACGUG